rnacentral:lncRNA from 1 species
GAGCAGCCGCCCCGUGCGGGCCUCCAGAGGUGUCUGAUCCUCACCAGCGGCACUGCUGGCGUUUUGAGCCAGACCAUUCUCUGUCAUGGAUGCUGUCCUGUGUGGAGCCUUGGGACCACCUCUCAGAUGGACCCCUGCCUGGAGACGGGGGCACUGGCCUCUUGAGGUCAGAACUGGAAAAACGGAAGGAAGAAGGAACUUUAACCCAGAGCAGUAAUGACUCCUGAGGUUGACCCCAUGAUGGCAACUGCUGGACAUUGAGGUAAACACAGGCGUCUACAGGCUGAACGAACCAAAGGUUUACAGUCAUGUGUCACUGAAUGACGGGGACACGUUCUGAGAAAUGUGUCAGGCCAUUUUGUCAUUGUGCGAACAUCACAGAGCACACUUACACGAACCAGAUGGUGCAGCCAACGACACACCCCGGCUCUAUGGUGCUCAUCUUAAGGGACCACCAUCUCGGAUGCGGUCCGUUGUUGACCGAAACGUCGUUAUGUGGCUUGUGGCAGUCCUCCCACAUCCGGGGAAUAGGUCCUUGUGCUCAGGACACAGUUUCCACACAGAAAGGUUUUCACAAAGGGCCACUUCCCAUCAACCCAGCAAUGAACAUGCUCUGGUCUGGACACCUGAGGUCUGGAACCCACAGGACGGACGGCAGAACAAUAGAGAUGCUGAUGUCGAGGACGUGUCAGCCGGGUUCGGAGAGUCGUUCCAAGAACCGGAAGAAUGCGCAAAAAAGCAUACUGGAAAGAGGAUCUCGCUGUUAAGAUAGACUUUGUUUUUGAGAACAGUUUUAGAUUUACGGGGAAAUGGAAAAGACAGCCCCCUCCCCCAGCUUCUCCCGUGACUGACGCCUUAACGCUAGGACGGGACCUUUGUCACAGUUCACGGAGCGGUGUUGAUGCAUUAUUCAGAUUCCCUUAGUUUUUACCUGACACCCUUUUUCUGGACCGUGAUCCCAUCCACGUCAUAUGAGUUGUCACGUCCCUUUAGGCCCCCUUUGCUGUGACCGUUUCUCUGACUCUCCCUGUUUCCGGUGACCUUGGCGGCGUGGAGCAGGGCUGUCGGGGUUUCACAGGCUGCGCCUCUGUUGGGAGAGUUUGUCUGAGGUUCCUCUCGUGGUUCCACUCGGUCCUGGGUCCUGGGUCGGGGGCUCUCAGAAGCAAAGUGACUUUUUACCCCAUCACAUCGAGGGCACGUGCGAUCAGUGUGACUCACAACGGAUGACGACCUUGGUCACCUGGCUCAGGUAGCCCUCCUCAGGUUUCCCCACCGUCCCGUCGCUCUCUCCUCUUUCCGUGCUGUCCUCCUUGGAAGUCACUCUGCCAGCCCCGACCUGAGCAGCAGGGAGCUAGGCUCCGCUAGAUAAACGACUUAGCGUUCUUCUGCACGGGACGUGUGUCCAUUCCUCCUAGAGUUAUUUAUUCAUUCUUUUCAUUGUGUCAGUGUGGACUCAUGGACAUUUAUUUUAUUUAUGCUUUGGGUUAUAAUUCAACACUUCUUUAUUUUUUAGUUUAAUUUUUUUUGAGGAAGAUUAGCCCUGAGCUAACAUCUGCUGUCAAUCCUCCUCUUUUUGCUGAGGAAGGCUGGCCCUGAGCUAACAUCCAUGCCCAUCUUCCUCUACUUUAUACGUGGGAUGCCUACCACAGCAUGGCUUGACGAGGAGUACCAUGUCUGCACCCGGGAUCCGAACCAGCGAACCCCGGGCCGCCAAACUGGAAUGUGUGCACUUAACCGCUAACGCCACCGGGCCGACCCCGAUACUUUAUUUUGCUACUCAAACUGUUCCAGCUUUGACCAUUGGGAGCUCUUCCAGCUGGCUCUCUUGCCCCUCUUCUGAGCACUUCCUGGCUCCGGGCACCACAGGCUGCUCAUUUCACAUGCCUCCUGCCCCAGUCUUAGAAUCAGCCACUUCUCCACGGAGCCCUGGCUCCUUUUUUUGGAAAAUGGUAUUAGAAACCAAGAUCUGGUGCCAGGCGUGCCCACUGCUAGUGGGAUGGCAUUUCCUUCGGGCCUUCUCAGCUGACAGAGCAAAGAAAUACACCUGUGUGUGUGCGCACCAACCCCCGUACAUGCACAUUGCUGAAGCCUUCUCUGCCUGCCCUACCCUCCACGGUGUCCACGUUCCCAGAAAUCCCAAGCCUGGACCAAGGGUCUCAAACUCGCAGCCCUGGGACUCGCUCUGUGUCACCUGCAGUGUUUCCUCAAAGUUUGAUCUGGUAGCUGGUGCUGAAGAGCAGGAGACCUCACCAAAAAUGUGGACGCCUGGUCUCUCCUACAAAUGUCGGAGGCUGGAGAGUCCGGGCUCAAAUUCCACCGGCGGGGUCAGCCCUGCGCUCAGCACACGGCAGGUGAUCGGCCGCGGUUGGCAGCUCGGACGGGCCGGGCGCACUCGGCUUGGGGCCCUGAACUCGGAGGCGGACAGGUCUGCUUUCCAGGGCCAGCCCUGCCCCUUCCUGCUGCAGGACCUGGAAAAAAUGCUUCUCCUCACUCAGCCUCAGUUUCCUCAUCUGGAAAAUGGGCUUAAAAUAAAACCUGCCUUGGGGGGUGGCUGUGAGGAUGAAGUGACCGACACAGGGGCGGGCCUGGACAGGUGCCAACACUUGGGGAAAUCUCUCCUCCUUUGUCUUGUUUUCUCUGCUCUGGUGCCUCUCAAUUCCAGAUGACCCCACUGUCCAUCUGUUCAUUCCACAAAUGCCUACUGUGUGCCAGACGCAAGCAGGACCCUGUGGCUGCCCUCAGAGGACUCCUCUUCCUGCUCUAGCUGCGGGAGAGACGGCUUCAUUCGCCCAUGCAUUUAUUUGCUCGUUCAUUCACUGGUGCAAAUGUGCAUUGAACACCUACUGUGUGCCAGGAGUGGUUCAGAACAUGUUGGAUAUAGCAGUGAACAGACAAAGUCCCUGCCAUCACGGAGCUGACAUUCUAGUGGUGGCAGACAGACGGUAAACGAAUGCAGUGUCAGGGAGCUGUGUGUUCUGUGAAGAAGAACCGUAGACUGGUGGAGGGACUGUGCGGGGUCCGGGAAGGCCUCUCCGUGAGCAGGGAGGGAGGGAGCCAUGGGGCCCAGCCUCUGAGGUAAGAGAAUUCCAGACAGAGGGAACAGCAGGUGUAAAGGCCCUGAGGCAGGCACAGGCCUGGCGUGUUGAGGGGCGGUGAGAAGGCCAGUAUGACCGGAGGAGAGUGAGUUAGAUACAUUUCCGUAAAGUUAGAAUUCCUCUCCUUCCUAUCCUCCUCUCCCUCCCCUCCGUCUGUCUCACUUUUUCGUUUUUUUACGAGUCUCUUAAUUUUGUAAUCCAAAUACACAGUGACAAUUUAUAAAAAUAGAAAUAAUAUCUGGGAAGCCCUUGGCAUGUCAUCAGUUUGCAGGAGCAGCCACUGCUAUUAUUAUCGUCUCUUCGUCUCAUUUCUGGCAGGAAUGAAUCACUUACUCCUAACGUUUCCUAAAGAGGCGGAGGGCCCCGGGUGCUUGUCCCACUGGAGCGUCUUUCUUCUUCUUCCUUUAUUCCAGCUUCAUUGAGACGUGACUGACACAGGAGCCUGUGUGAGUUUCAGGUGUGCACAUGUUGACUCGAUGCUCAUGCACAGGCAGGGCUGUGGGGCGGUGUCGGCGCGUCUGUGGCGAGGGGACGGUGUCCCUUCCUCCUCCCCUCGCCACCUCCCCUUUCUCUUCCAUCUGCAAACUCUCCAGCAGAAGGAAGCACCCAAAUUUGGGAAGUCUUGUCUCAGGCCACCGAGAGUGUGUGGGUUCUCUGGAGCCUGUGACACAGAGGCUGGGGGGCAGCUCGUGGUGGCCCAAAGAGGGCGGUUGGUGGCGUGCUGGAGAAGGAGUCUUCCUGUGGGCCCUGGUCCCCUGCAGUCCUCCUGCUUCUCCAGGGCAGAGCUGCCCGCUCCCUCCUGUCUCCCCACCUUCCCGGACGCUGCGGGGCCCACCCCAUCACCUGCCCUGACCCCUGCGGGCACCUCCCCUGGGGCUCCCUGCUUCCACCUCGGGCCCCUCAGUCAGUUCCCCACCUGCAGCCAGAGGAUCCCCUUAGAACCAAGUGAGACCAUGUCCCUCCCCAGCUCGGAGCCCUUUCGGGUCCCACCUGGCUCAGAGGCCCCUCGAGGUCCUAUAAGGCCUGCAGGGUGGGACCCUGUCACUGCUCUGGGCUCCUGUCCGCCCCACGCCCUGCCUCACCCUCCCUCUUGACUCCGGGUCACUGGCCUCCUGGCCGCUCCAUGAGGGACUCCCGCUGUCCCGCUGUCUCACCCCUCAUCUCCCGCUGAGCCCGGCCCCAGCAGCCUGGGCUGCCGCCCCUUCAGGAGCGGGGCCUCCUUGGCACCCGCUCGUGGCUCCCUGUCUUCACCCUCCAAGCCCUUAUCACUGUUUGGAGAAACACAUCCGUGGGUCUGCUUGCUGGAAAACACCUGUGCCCCCUCAGGGUGUCGGCCCCGGGAGAGUGGGCUGAGUCUGCGGGCCGUGCCCCAGUGCCUGGAACAGCAUUGGCACACGGUACCCAGUGGGUGCUCAGUGUGUGCUUGGCGAACGAGUGAGCAUCAGUGCUUUCAAAUCAGACCUUGGGAUCUUGGCAAGGUUCUUAAAUCCCAGAAGCGGCGAGUUCGAGACUUGGCGGCUCUGGGGCCCUGCCCGCCCAGGCUGGCUCUGUCUCUCCCUCUGUCUCCUUCUGUCUCCCCCUUUUGGGCUCUCCGUCUGUCUCUGUCUCGCUCCCCUCCCUCUGCCCGUCUCUGUCUCUCUGCUUCUGUCUCCCUCUCCUAUCUGCCUCUUCCUUCCUCUUCCCUCACUGCCCUCCUCUCCUCUUCUCUCUGUCUCUCCUCUGUCGUCCCCUCCCAGCCUCCGCGGGCAGUGGGGCCAGCUACUGCUGUGACUUUUCUGCCUCUCCUGCCGCCCCUGCCCCCCAAGGUCCCCCACCAAGUGUGACCGAGUGGGUCCUGCAAGGAGCAGGGAGGGGCCGGGGAGGCUGUGCUGGGCGUGGAACUCUGGGCAGCUUCUCCUGGCGUGACCCCUCAAAGUCGACGACCCCUCCGGGCCCCACUUUCCUUGUCUUCCCAAAGAGAAGCACAGCUCCUGGGACUUGCCAUGUUUCUCUGCCGAAUACUGACUGGCGGUGAAGCUCAGAGAAGAUUACGGGCUGGGAGCUUCACCAAGGCAAGCUCCCCGCGACAGAAGCUACCCUUGCCAGGAGCUGACCUGCGUGGGGCCAGGCUGGGCGUGUUUCCCGGUCAGGCCGCCAUCUGCCCUGGGCUCGGCACACAGGGCUCCUGCUGCCCAGCCAGGCCUCCCUUCAGAAAUGUGAACCUGCCAGGAUUCCUCCGGCCUCAGGGUCUUGGCAGGUGCUGUUCCCUCUGUUUGAGAUGCUCUUCCUUCUAUCUUGGCCUAGUUGAACGCCUACCUCUUAUUCCGAUUCUGGCUCAAACACCACCUUCUCCAAGAAGCCCUCCCUGAUGACAUCCCCACACGUCAGGUCACCUUGUUAACUGCUGUCUCUCGCUUACCAUGGUUGUAAUUGCUUUAUUUAUUUUAUUUAUUUGCCCUCAGCGCCCCCCACCCUCGGGCUUAGCUCCCCCCCCGAGGGAAGUUGGGAGGCCCAAGCCGUUGAGUCAGCAAAGUUCUCCUUCCCUUCUUGGCACUUUCUCUGGGGAGGUUGGGAGCUGGCUUCCUCCAAAGGGACUAAAUUCAAGGGUGCAGAGGUAGAGGGGAGGCGGGCAAGGCCUCCCUCCGCCCCCCGGACCAGCCGUCCAGCCCCAGACAGCCUCCCUUCAUCUCCACGACGACCCCUCCCAGUCUGAGCUGCCAGCGAGGCGCUCUCCUGCCCCCCUCCCCCACCCGGAGAAGCUGAAGGGAGUUUGUGGAAACCCAAGUCUAACCUCCAAUGUGCCUUGCUCCAAACCCUCCCAUGGCUCCCUACUGGCCCCAGAAUAAAGCCCGGCCACCUCAGUUGGGCCACAAGCCCCCCGUGGCCUGACCUUGCUUCUUUCCCUUCAUGCCCCAGCAAUGCCCAGCUCUGCACAGCUCCCUGCCUCCAGGCAUUUGCACUUGCUGUUCCCUCUGCUCUGAACACUGUUCCCUGGAGAGGAUGAAAGCCACAGGACUCGCUCUCUCACCUCCUACAGGUCUUUGCCCAAACAUUACCUCCCCAGCAACGCCCCCGCCAGGGCCCUAUUUAAAAUUUAACCUCCCCCGUCCCGUCCUCCCCCUUUCCUCCUUGAUUUCUCCCUACAACCUUGACACCUGGGAACAGGUCACAUGUUACUGUCAUCUUGUUCUCGUCUGUUUCCCACUAGGACGCCAGCUCCCCCGGCAGGCCCCUCGGUCAGCAUCAUUUCCUGCUGCAUCCCCAGCAAGGGGGGCCCAGGGCUGUGGGCGUCCGGGCCGGACAGGCCUGCCGUGGAGCGCUGGCUCCGUCCCUCCCCGGCUUUCUCCUUUCUGGGCCUCACUUUUCUCAUCUGAAAAAUGGGAGAAAAAACAGGAUUGGAGCAAGGGCGAAAUACAAUCCUUCUUGCCUCACGCGUCAAGAGCCUACAUGUGUGUAGAGACCAAAGGAAAAGGAAGAGAAAGAGGCAAAAAAACUCAUCAUUCUUCAUUUUGGGGAAGCAGGUGACUCCAUUCUGUCUGUCCACACCAUGGACUAGUACACAGCUGUUAAAAAGAACGGCUCACAGUUUUCUCUGGUGCCCUGUGUGAGAAAAAUCUUUUCUGUUUGCCUGUUUUUAAACAUUCUUAAUCACACAGGUAUUUUUUUCCUUAGGGUUUAUUUUUAACUCAAAAAAACUAGGUAAAAUAUUGCGUAUAUGGUGUUCCACUUUUAUUUUAAAAAAGAGGAGGAACAUAUACAUUCCUAUCUUUUUUUUUUUUUUUUAAAGAUUUUAUUUUUCCUUUUUCUCCCCAACGCCCCCCGGUACAUAGUUGUGUAUUCUUCAUUGUGGGUCCUUCUAGUUGUAGCAUGUGGGACGCGGCCUCAGCGUGGUCUGAUGAGCAGUGCCAUGUCCGCGCCCAGGAUUCGAACCAACGAAACACUGGGCCGCCUGCAGCGGAGCGCGCGAAAUUAACCACUCGGCCACGGGGCCAGCCCCUACAUUCCUAUCUUUUAUAGUUUCAAAAAUUGAGAUGAAAUUCACAAAACAUAAAAUCACUUUAAUCAUUAAUUAGUGAACCAUUUUAAAGUGCACAAUUCAGUGACAUUUGUUACAUUCACCGCGUUGUGCGACUGUUACCUCCACGUCGUUCCAGAACAUUUCCGUCACCCCAAAGGGGCCCGGCGCCCGUUAAACCCGUCAGUCCUCACGCCUCCUCCAGCCCCGGCAGCCACGGCUCAGCCUCGUCUCUGCGGGUUUGUCUGCUCCGGACUGUUCGCGUAAACGGAGUCACACGACAUAGGACCUUUGGUGUCUGGCUUCUUUCCAUCUGCACUGCUUUGAGGUGCACGUGGUGGGCGUGGGGACCUCGUUCCUUGUUAUGGCCGAAUACCGCCCCAUUGCGUGGCCGGCGUGCGUUACGUUUAUCCGCUGACCCAUUGCUGCACAUGGAUGCUGUUUUCACCUUUGGGCGAUCGGGAAUAGCGCUGUCGUGAACGCCCGAGGACGAGUGGGAAAGCCAGACGCUGAAGGCUGUCCCGUGGGAUGCUGGCUCGUAAAAGGAAUGACAGAUAAAGAAACCCCUCAUCCAGGCAUCAUCUGCGUCGGAUUUUCACGCUGACAGACAACAAGGAAGAACCCACUCUCAGUGCCAACGUGGGGAGAGAGAAGGAAAAGCGAAGAAGGGCCAGAUGCGAAACCAAAACAGUGCACAAAAUGAUUCCACGUGGGCCUGUGUGACAAGUGACAGUCUGAGUCACUGUGGAUGGAGAUGUGAAAAGAAAUCCCCCCAAACAAACAAGAAAAAUCCAAAACUGAUCUCUGCGAGAAGGGCUGGACAGCGCCUGGUCCAAUGGAGAAACUGAGGUUGGAAGAGAGGCGGGAAUUCCCAGGGGAACUAUUUCAACCACCCAGGACGUCACAGAAGAUGGUAUCAUGAGCCCCAGGUCCCCAUCACCUGGCUUUGUCAAAUUUCACAUUUUGCCGUGUUUAUUUCUGAUGGGAUAACAGUCAGGAUCUGGCAGGAAACACCCCUUUCGAACGGAGUAGCUGGAGGAGAGCUUCAAAGAGCCCAUUGCAAAGGUGUGGGCAGGGUUACGGGAACCAACGGGGACAGACGCAGAGCGGGGCUGGCCCCAGUGGACCGCUGAUGUUUGCAGGGUGGGGGUGCAUGGGGAGGCCCCUGGCAGGAGCCGAGACCGGUGACGAAGGACGGCUCCAGCCCCGGACGCAGCAGGGAGGAGCUGUCCCUGGUCUGCCCUCCCGUCUCUGGCGGCACCUCCACUCAGUGAACUGACGGAAAGCUCCACACAGGACCCCCUGGGCAGCGCUCCCGCCUGGAACAGAAGCUUGGAGGAUGCUUGAGAUCCCGUAGCCUUGGAACUACAGACUUGCUCCCGCCAGGACAAAGGAGUCACCCACCCCCCAGCUCUCAGCGCACCAACCCCUGCGAUUCUAAAAUUCGAACGCACAGGAGGCCCACUGGACCAAGUCACGCGCUCGCUCAGUGAAUACCUGUGGAGCAUCCGUUAGGCACCAGGCACGGGGGGGACACAGUGAGCAACAUGGACAACCUUUCUGCCUUUGGCACUUGUGUUUUAGCAGGGGAGACGGUCAAGAACCAAAUGAUAGAAGAUGCAGUGUGUCAGCUUUAUUGAGGUACAACAGACACGGCACGUGUUCUAGUGUGCACUUUGGUGAGUUUUGACACAUGGAUGCGCUCAUGAAGCCACCAGCACAACCAAGACUGUGAGCAUACCCAUCACUUUCCACUCCCGAGGUUUCCCUGUGUCCUUUUGUCGCCGCCCUUCCCGCCCGGCCUCCUCCAUGCUCUCUAUUGCUGUAACUCAGUCUACGUUUUCCAGAAGUUUCUCCAAGUGGAAUCAUAUAGCACGUCCUCCCUUGUCCGCUUCUUUCCCUUGGCGCGAGGAUUUCGAGAUUCAUCCUGUCAUCACGCCCGUUAUCUUCUCAGGCGUCCGCCCCCUCCCAGCAGGCCGUGAGCUCCGUGUGGCAAGGACUUUGCCUUAUUCGUCUCCGUGUCCCCAGCACCCCGCACAAGGCUGCGCACACAGGAAGCGCCUAAUAGAUGCCUGACUGGCGGGAGGGUGGAGACGAGCCCGUGUGGGGGACGGGCAGGCUGCAGCCUCGUGGCAGCGAGGAGCCCGAAGACUGGCUGGGACAACGGCCCCUGGACGCUCCGGAGGCCCCGUGGCCCCAUCAGAUGAGCAUAUCCGCUCAUCCCGGUGGCUGUCUCUGGGGGUCAGAGACCUGAACUGCACAAGGGUUGGGCUUGGGCUGAGGACGCGCUUAGUGGCCCCUUUAUCUGGCGUGGGCAUCCGGCCCUGUGUUCUGGAACGGCACAGCUUGCACGCCCAGUGGGCCACGCGGCCUGGGCCCGGGCAUGGCAGGAAGGGAGCUGGCGCCCCCCCACCCCCCCAAACCAGUCCGACUCCUCUGGAGAGGCUGCGGGAGCUGAGCGAGCGCGGGCGGCGGGGAAAGGAGGAGGCGGAGGGAGGACCCGCUCCAUCAGCGACCGUCCCGGGGAAUUUCCAGUCCUGCCCCGGCCGGCUGGUUACACAGGCGGUUUCCAGGUCUCGGCCUCAGCCCGAAGGCUCCAUGGCCCCAAGGCCUCUGGGUCUCAUCCCCGGCUGGAAAGGCAGCUGGCCGGGCUGGGGAGGGGCGAGGGGACAGAGCUACAUCCCGAGACGGCCCGCAACCAAAGCUGAGUGAGGCAUGGGCUUCCUGCGCGAUGUUACUGCCCAUUUCCCAGAUGGAAAAACCGAGGCGAGAGCUGUGGAUUGGCUGAGGUCACACAGGGGUCGCCGGGGAGCAGGAGUGCUUAAGGCCCAGCGGUCAUCUUGCAGAGCCUCCUUCGAAGAUGACAAUGUUCUUUUGACAAAUGCUCAUUGAACCCCUACUGUGUGCCAGGCUCCAUGCUCAGCUCUGGGGAUUAAAAGAGAGUCCCGGGGCCGCCCCAUGGCGUGGUGGUGAAGUCCAGCGCCCUCUGCCUCCCUGGCCUGAGUCUCGGGUUCGGAUCCCAGACACAGACGCACACCACGCGUCAAGCUGUGCUACGGUGGCGUCCCACAUGCGAAAUAGAGGAAGAGUCACGCAGAUGUUAGCUCAGGGCUAAUCUUCCUCAAGCCAAAAAAAAAAAAAGAGGAAGAUUGGCAACAGAUGUUAGCUCAGAGCAAAUUUUCCUCACACACACAAAGCAAGAGAGUCCUGGGCAUGUAUCAUGUGUCACGUCUUACCUCCAGAUGGAAAAACUUUUGAGGGCAGGCUGUGGAACUUUGUUUUCUUGUUUGUGGAAACAACGAAUUUACACCAGGUUAGCGUUUCCCAAAUAGGGUCUGAAGGACACAGAUUCUCUGGGACAUUGAGAGCAGUGACAUGGGGAAAAGGGUUCCACGGGCCCAAGAGUUCGGGAGUUACUGUGUGUAAGAAUGGAGCGUUUGCUGCAGGACUUCUCAGAGCCUUCAAUGUCUUAACAAGCUCCGCGAGCAUCUCAGUGGAUGGGUGCUCUGAGUCACCCUCUGCGAGAUCUAAGGGAGCCUGUUUAGUGUCUUCCUGUCUUUCUGAUUCCUGGUUUGGAUGCCACUUCCUCCGAGGAGGCUUCUCCGAAGCCCCAGGUGGACCUGCGUCUGUUCCUGUGAAGGCGCCUGCCUGGAGCUCCCUUCGACCUCUUAAUAUUUUCCACCUUGAGUUGUAGCUCUGUUCCCAUCACCAGCCUGCGCGCUGCUCGAGGGAGGAGCCCACGGUGAUUCAUGUCUUGGUCCUGGUACAGGGAGCUGAAUGGGUGGAUGCAGAAGUUAAUGGGAGGAAGGGCCCUGACCUUGGAGAGGAACCCAGGCCCAGAGGGAUGCAGGCAGCUGAGAUGGGGCCACCGGGUGUCCCAACAGAAAGAGCACUCGUGUAUUCAUUUGUUCACGGCACAGCAUUUCCGCGCCUUUUCCGGAUGCCUGUGAGAAGACAAAGCCGCCUCUCAUAGCGCCGGGUGUUCGGAGCUUAAAGUCACACAGAUUUCCUUUGUAAUCUCAUCUCUGAUGCUCACCGGCUGGUUGACCUUGGGAAAAGUCCUUCACUCUCUGGGCCUCCUCUUCAUGUAUAACACAGGGAUGGCAAGAAUUCCUACCUGUUGGCUU